rnacentral:rRNA from 1 species
GACGAACGCUGGCGGCGUGCUUAACACAUGCAAGUCGAACGGAAAGGCCCUGCUUUUGUGGGGUGCUCGAGUGGCGAACGGGUGAGUAACACGUGAGUAACCUGCCCUUGACUUUGGGAUAACUUCAGGAAACUGGGGCUAAUACCGGAUAGGAGCUCCUGCUGCAUGGUGGGGGUUGGAAAGUUUCGGCGGUUGGGGAUGGACUCGCGGCUUAUCAGCUUGUUGGUGGGGUAGUGGCUUACCAAGGCUUUGACGGGUAGCCGGCCUGGGAGGGUGACCGGCACAUUGGGACUGAGAUACGGCCCAGACUCCUACGGGAGGCAGCAGUGGGGAAUAUUGCACAAUGGGCGGAAGCCUGAUGCAGCAACGCCGCGUGCGGGAUGACGGCCUUCGGGUUGUAAACCGCUUUCGCCUGUGACGAAGCGUGAGUGACGGUAAUGGGUAAAGAAGCACCGGCUAACUACGUG